rnacentral:rRNA from 1 species
AGUGAACGCUGGCGGCAGGCCUAAUACAUGCAAGUCGAACGGCAGCACAGCAGAGCUUGCUCUGUGGGUGGCGAGUGGCGGACGGGUGAGGAAUACAUGGGAAUCUGCCCAGUUGUGGGGGAUAACGUAGGGAAACUUACGCUAAUACCGCAUACGACCUACGGGUGAAAGAGGGGGACCUUCGGGCCUCUCGCGAUUGGAUGAGCCUAUGCCGGAUUAGCUAGUUGGCGGGUAAAAGCCCACCAAGGCGACGAUCCGUAGCUGGUCUGAGAGGAUGAUCAGCCACACUGGAACUGAGACACGGUCCAGACUCCUACGGGAGGCAGCAGUGGGGAAUAUUGGGCAAUGGGCGAAAGCCUGACCCAGCCAUGCCGCGUGAAGGAAGACGGCCUUAUGGGUUGUAAACUUCUUUUACUAUACGAAUAGAGGUUAGUACGAGUUACUAAUAGGAAGGUAGUAUAGCAAAAAGCACCGGCUAACUCCGUG